CAGAUUGAACGCUUGCGGCAUGGCUAAAGCAUGCAAGUCGUACGCGAAACCGGCUUCGGCCGGGAGUAGAGUGGCGAACGGGCGAGGAAUGCGUUUCUAACGUGCCCCAAGGUCGAGGAUAGCUCGGGGAAACCCGGGGUAAUACUCGAUGACCCCCAUGGAUCGCAUGGUUCGUGGGGCAAAGGCUUGCUGCCUUGGGAUCGGGAAACGCCCUAUCAGGUUGUUGGUGAGGUAACGGCUCACCAAGCCUAAGACGGGUAGCGGGUGUGAGAGCAUGACCCGCCGCAUCGGGACUGAGACACUGCCCGGACUCCUACGGGAGGCUGCAGCAACGGAUAUUGGGCAAUGAGCGAAAGCUUGACCCAGCAAUGCCGCGUGCAGGAGGAAGCCCCUCGGGGUGUAAACUGCUGUCAGGGUUUAGGAAGUUCUGACCAAACCCAAAGGAAGGGCCGGCUAACUUCGUGCCAGCAGCCGCGGUAAUACGAAGGGCCCAAGCGUUAAUCGGAAUCACUGGGCUUAAAGGGUGCGCAGGCGGAAUGGUCAGUGUCUUGUGAAAUCCCACGGCUCAACCGUGGAACUGCAGGGCAUACUGCCAUUCUUGAGGCCGGUAGAGGCCGCCGGAACUCUAGGUGUAGCGGUGAAAUGCGUAGAUAUCUAGAGGAACGCCAAAGACGAAGGUAGGCGGCUGGGCCGGUUCUGACGCUCAGGCACGAAAGCGUGGGGAGCAAACAGGAUUAGAUACCCUGGUAGUCCACGCCGUAAACGUUGUGCACUAGGUGCUGGAGGUUCUGACACCAUCAGCGCCGAAGCGGAAAGUGAUUAAGUGCACCGCCUGGGGAGUACGGUCGCAAGGCUAGAACUCAAAGGAAUUGACGGGGGCUCACACAAGCGGUGGAGCAUGUGGCUUAAUUCGAGGCAACGCGAAGAACCUUAUCCUGGGCUUGACAUGCAUGGAUUAACGCUGGGAAACCAGCGCCACACUCUUUGAGUGGAACAUGCACAGGUGCUGCAUGGCUGUCGUCAGCUCGUGCUGUGAAGUGUUGGGUUAAGUCCCUUAACGAGCGAAACCCCUGUCGCUAGUUACCAUCAGGUAAUGCUGGGGACUCUAGCGAGACUGCCGGUGUCAAACCGGAGGAAGGCGGGGAUGACGUCAAG
rnacentral:rRNA from 1 species